rnacentral:tRNA from 1 species
GGUUAGGGUAUAUAAUACUAGAAACUGCUACUUUUUAGUCGCUACGUAAAAGUAGCCUACCCU